rnacentral:rRNA from 1 species
UGGGGAUUAUUGGACAAUGGGCGAAAGCCUGAUCCAGCCAUGCCGCGUGUGUGAAGAAGGUCUUCGGAUUGUAAAGCACUUUAAGUGGGGAGGAAGGGCAGUAAGCGAAUACCUUGCUGUUUUGACGUUACCGACAGAAUAAGCACCGGCUAACUCUGUGCCAGCAGCCGCGGUAAUACAGAGGGUGCAAGCGAUAAUCGGCAUUACUGGGCGUAAAGCGCGCGUAGGUGGUUCGUUAAGUUGAAUGUGAAAGCCCCGGGCUCAACCUGGGAACUGCAGCCAAAACUGGCGAGCUAGUGUAGGGCAGAGGGUGGUGGAAUUUCCUGUGUAGCGGUGAAAUGCGUAGUUAUAGGAAGGAACACCAGUGGCGAAGGCGACCACCUGGGCUCAUACUGACACUGAGGUGCGAAAGCGUGGGGAGCAAACAGG